rnacentral:rRNA from 1 species
AUUGAACGCUGGCGGCAUGCUUUACACAUGCAAGUCGAACGGUAACAGGCCGCAAGGUGCUGACGAGUGGCGAACGGGUGAGUAAUGCAUCGGAACGUGCCCAGUCGUGGGGGAUAACGCAGCGAAAGCUGCGCUAAUACCGCAUACGAUCUAUGGAUGAAAGCGGGGGACCGAAAGGCCUCGCGCGAUUGGAGCGGCCGAUGUCAGAUUAGGUAGUUGGUGGGGUAAAGGCUCACCAAGCCAACGAUCUGUAGCUGGUCUGAGAGGACGACCAGCCACACUGGGACUGAGAGACGGGCCAGAAUCCUAUGGGAGGCAGCAGUGGGGAAUUUUGGACAAUGGGCGCAAGCCUGAUCCAGCAAUGCCGCGUGCAGGAAGAAGGCCUUCGGGUUGUAAACUGCUUUUGUACGGAACGAAACGGUCCGGGCUAAUACCCUGGGCUAAUGACGGUACCGUAAGAAUAAGCGCCGGCUAACUACGUGCCAGCAGCCGCCGCGGUAA